GGGCCAAUAGCUCAGUUGGCAGAGCCCCCGGCUCAUAACCGGAUGGUCCCAGGUUCGAAUCCUGGUUGGCCCACCA
rnacentral:tRNA from 5 species